AAGAAUUUAAGUUAACAAAACUAUUGACCUUCAAAGUCAAAUUUAAGAUAUAUCUUAAUUCUUA
rnacentral:tRNA from 1 species